rnacentral:rRNA from 1 species
GAUGAACGCUGGCGUCGUGCCUAAUACAUGCAAGUCGAGCGAACAGAUAAGGAGCUUGCUCCUUUGACGUUAGCGGCGGACGGGUGAGUAACACGUGGGUAACCUACCUAUAAGACUGGAAUAACUCCGGGAAACCGGGGCUAAUGCCGGAUAACAUUUAGAACCGCAUGGUUCUAAAGUGAAAGAUGGUUUUGCUAUCACUUAUAGAUGGACCCGCGCCGUAUUAGCUAGUUGGUAAGGUAACGGCUUACCAAGGCAACGAUACGUAGCCGACCUGAGAGGGUGAUCGGCCACACUGGAACUGAGACACGGUCCAGACUCCUACGGGAGGCAGCAGUAGGGAAUCUUCCGCAAUGGGCGAAAGCCUGACGGAGCAACGCCGCGUGAGUGAUGAAGGUCUUCGGAUCGUAAAACUCUGUUAUUAGGGAAGAACAAAUGUGUAAGUAACUGUGCACGUCUUGACGGUACCUAAUCAGAAAGCCACGGCUAACUACGU